rnacentral:tRNA from 1 species
GGGCUUAUAGCUUAAUGGUAAAGCAUACUACUCAUAAUGGUUUCAGUAUAGGUUCGAUUCCUAUUAAGCCUA